GAACGCUGGCGGCGUGCCUAAUACAUGCAAGUCGAACGGACAAGUAAGAGCUUGCUCUUAUGAGUUAGUGGCGCACGGGUGAGUAAUGUAUAGCUAAUCUGCCCUACACUAGAGGACAACAGUUGGAAACGACUGCUAAUACUCUAUACACCUCUCUAGCAUAAGUUAGAUAGGGAAAGUUUUUCGGUGUAGGAUGAGGCUAUAUUGUAUCAGCUAGUUGGUGAGGUAAUGGCUCACCAAGGCUAUGACGCAUAACUGGUCUGAGAGGAUGAUCAGUCACACUGGAACUGAGACACGGUCCAGACUCCUACGGGAGGCAGCAGUAGGGAAUAUUGCUCAAUGGGGGAAACCCUGAAGCAGCAACGCCGCGUGGAGGAUGACACUUUUCGGAGCGUAAACUCCUUUUGUUAGGGAAGAACAAUG
rnacentral:rRNA from 1 species